CAGUGGGAUUAUCGGGAUCGAAGCAGCGGGAACGUUGAAAUUUCCAAUCUUGCGAUUCAUGAAAUUACCUUGCAUAACUGAGAAUGUCUGCAGCUGCGCCAGACAUGUGUUCAUUAUGACUGUACUGAAUAAAAUGGGCAACAUCCUGGUUAGUAUCUUAACUUCUUCAACUUGAGUCACUGUGCACACCGUCCAUGGUGUUGUCUUCGAAUCUUUCGGAACAAUUGCAGCUUUAUCUAGGAAUCUGACCAAGAAUCAUGAAUCACAGUUGGUUUCCAAAUUUUUGUUUAAACAUGUUUAGCUAUCAUACAGUCACAUCACAUCACAUUCAUGCGUGCAUUACCUGAAUUGGUUGGUGUGGGAGAUUAUUUCCUCCCUGAAAUCAUUUUCGGUUUUCCUGAUCUCAUACAAUUCAUCUGGACUGUCCGGCAGAGCUAGCUUACUGUUGUUUAUGGCUACUACUAUGACCUAUGAAUGAUCAUAACACAAAAGAAAUGUUUAUCACCUUUGUCACCACCCUUGUUUCUAUUUGUAGAUAUAUCCAUUAAGAAAUGAAAUGCAGGGAUAAAUAGUACUGAACCUGAGUUAUCCUUAUGAUGGGGCUAUCGGCCAUCUUGGGUUCUCGUAGGCGGUAGAAAGGCUUGCCGAGUGCAAGAACAGUGAAACCUAUGAAGGUAGCCACAGUCGAUAUGAAGAAACCCCAAUACCAUUUGUGCUUUUCAGUGGUCAGAUACACGAUCCCCGUCACUCCGACACAGGCUCCGAGUGUAGUACUGA
rnacentral:lncRNA from 1 species